UACGUAGGCAGCGAGCGUUGUUCGGAAUUACUGGGCGUAAAGAGUGUGUAGGCGGUGCUCUAAGUCAGACGUGAAAUCCCUCGGCUCAACCGGGGAACUGCGUCUGAGACUGGAAGGCUUGAAUUCGGGAGAGGGAUGUGGAAUUCCAGGUGUAGCGGUGAAAUGCGUAGAUAUCUGGAGGAACACCGGUGGCGAAGGCGGCAUCCUGGACCGAGAUUGACGCUGAUGCGCGAAAGCCAGGGGAGCAAACGGG
rnacentral:rRNA from 1 species